UACGGAGGGUGCAAGCGUUGUUCGGAUUUAUUGGGCGUAAAGCGCGUGUAGGCGGUUUGUUAAGUCUGAUGUGAAAGCCCUGGGCUCAACCUGGGAAGUGCAUUGGAAACUGGCAGACUUGAAUACGGGAGAGGGUAGUGGAAUUCCUAGUGUAGGAGUGAAAUCCGUAGAUAUUAGGAGGAACACCGGUGGCGAAGGCGGCUACCUGGACCGAUAUUGACGCUGAGACGCGAAAGCGUGGGGAGCAAACAGG
rnacentral:rRNA from 1 species